rnacentral:rRNA from 1 species
GACGAACGCUGGCGGCGUGCCUAACACAUGCAAGUCGAGCGGCAAAGCAGGGUACUUGUGCCAUCUGGAUGAGCAGCGAACGGGUGAGUAACGCGUGUAGCAUCUGCUUUUGUUUGGGGGACAAUAUUUGGAAACGAAUGCUAAUACUGCAUAAAAACUUUAAACACUAGUUUUAAGUGUGAAUGAUGCAAUUGGAGCAUGCAAAGACGAUCCCGCGUUGGAUUAGUUAGUUGGUGAGGUAAAGGACCACCAAGGCGUAGAUACAUAGCCUGACUGAGAGGGUGGGCCGGCCAACUGGGACUGAGACACGGCACAAACUCCUUAGGGGAGCAGCAAUAGGGGAACUUUGGACAUGGGGGGAAAUCUGUGCGCGCAACGCCGGGGGAGUGGAGAAGGUUUUCGGGUCGGAAAAGUCUGUUGGUAGGGAAGAAAGUUGGUGAGAGUGGAACGCUCAUCAAGUGACGGUAACUACACAAAAAGCACCGGCUAACUACGUG